GGAGAAGUCGCCGUCGCUGUUCCGUGUGGCCGCGCCGUCUUCGCCGUCCUCGGAGAUCCACGAGCAGAGGGUGCACGCGCGGGGGUGGAGGACGGCGCUGCUGUCGCCGCCGUUAAAGCCGCCACCAGCUGCGCCGCCAUCGUGCCUUGACUCGCCACCGUCGAUCUCGUCGCAGGCCACUGCCGCCGGAGCUCAUGUCACCGCCGUUGAGCACCAUGAAGAACAGAGAGCGUGCUCAAUGAGUGAGAAGGGGUGGAGGCUGGGUUUUGUCGCUGUAUUGCUACCUCUGCCGUGCCCUGCUGAGGCUUCUAGAGCCGCUGCCAUCACUGCUGGAACGAGCUGGAGCUCGUCACGAAAAGAGAGAGGCUAGGGCUGGCACCGUCUUGCCUGGGUUGCUGCCAUUGAUUUGGAGUUGCCAUAAAAGUGGCUGUUUCACUUUUAGUAUUCAUCCUUCUGUGGUUGGAGUUGCUGCGAGUUGGGGCCACUGGAAGAGUGUUGCUGUUGCCGGAACCACCACCAGGACUGCCGCUUCAUGGUUCAGUCACUUCUUAUUUGCGAGUUGAUGUGGUUACUGCAAAAGUGAGCAAAGCUGUGGUUCAAGCUGCUGGUGAUUUCGGGAUGAGACGGAAAGGACUCUAU